rnacentral:rRNA from 1 species
AAGAGUACGUGAACCGCCCAGAGGUAAACGGGUGGAUCCGCAAAGUCGGCCCGCGGGAUUCAGCUCGGCGCGCGGCUCGGGGCUGGUGCGGUACGGGAUCCCUGGGACCCGUCCGCGCCGUCGCACCGGCUCCGCCGUGUGCACUUUCCGCGGGCAGAGCGCCACGAUCGGCUUCGGGGCGGUGAUAAGCCCGGGGGGAAGGUAGGCGUGCGCUUCGGCGUGCGCUGUUAUAGACCUCCGCGGUGGACCGCUCCGGGGCCGAGGAACGACCGCCGCGUACGGCUACCCGUCUUUCUCGGAGAGUUCGACUGGCAGGGACUGGGUCUAACCGUGUCUGCCGACCGCUCUUGGGGUUUGGGCGGCGU